rnacentral:rRNA from 1 species
GUAGGUGACAAGCGUUGUCCGGAUUUACUGGGCGUAAAGAGCGCGCAGGCGGUCGUUCAAGUCGAGUGUGAAAGCCCCCGGCUCAACUGGGGAGGGUCACUCGAUACUGAUCGACUCGAAGGCAGGAGAGGGUAGUGGAAUUCCCGGUGUAGUGGUGAAAUGCGUAGAUAUCGGGAGGAACACCAGUGGCGAAGGCGACUACCUGGCCUGUUCUUGACGCUGAGGCGCGAAAGCUAGGGGAGCAAACGGGAUUAGAUACCCCGGUAGUCCUAGCCGUAAACGAUGGACACUAGGUGUUGGUGGUAUCAACCCCGCCAGUGCCGAAGCUAACGCAUUAAGUGUCCCGCCUGGGGAGUACGGCCGCAAGGCUA